AAAACAGCGGAGGAAACAGCCUGGAUCCGGUGCACUAAUUCGGCUGACUGCGCUGUCACGGUUGAUAAGGGAGGGAGCACCGUGUUCUCAAGUGGAUACCUGCGGCUGACUAACCAAGUGACGAACUUCGACUUCAAUCUUUGGGUCCGCGGCUGUAAUGACCAUGGAUGCGGAGAAGAACGCUCGCUGUCAGUGGACUCGUACGUUCCAGGUCCACCUCCACUCAGUGAUGUCACUAUGACGAGAAGUCAACAUGAUGCAACACUGCGAUGGAGCGUGCCGCAUCCAAGUGCAUUCAAUGGCGUCGAAGUUACAUGGAACUGUAAUGGCAACACGAGUAUCGUCCAUUUCGCCAAAAUAAAUCAAAUUCUCUGGAACCCUUUUUUCUCCGGGGAGGCAUUGCUACCAGGUAUCCCUGAAGACGGAGAAUAUUGCAAGGCAACUGUCUCAAUGUACGAAGACCGAGACGGAGAUAUCUAUUACGGUCCAGUGAUGCCAGCCAUUCUCCAGUAGCGUAGCGACGGCGAUGCUACAGCGGUGGUAUUUCUCCACACUGGACGGUGUAGGUACCUUCAUCUC
rnacentral:lncRNA from 1 species